UGUACCCUAAUGCAUAAAUCUCAUCGUAAACGAUCAUUUAAUCUCGACCAACCGGAUGUAGAACCCGAACUAAAGUUAUCACGGAUCGGAAACACCGUAAAGAUUCAGAAAUAAUGUCAUGUCGGACAGAAAGGUUCUACUAUGUAUGGAGCGUAGAGAGAGGAAACGAGGGACGUUUCUCGCAAUCUUCCAGUUAGGAGAGCGGACGUGAGUACACGAGCUCCUCUUUCGUACUUGGCAUGAAUGGAGAACGCGGCCGCAUGAAUGGACCGCCGAUAGACGCGCGAGACGAAAAGCAGGCUGCGCGUCAGAAUGUGACAUACAGAGAGAGAGAGAGAGAGAGAGAGAGAGAGGGGGGGGGGGAGAAGGAAAGAAUGAAAAUUGAAAGAUGGACAAGGGGCUGCUAGAGGAAUCGGCAGGAGGGAGAGGGACGUAGGUGACAUUGAACCGAAUGCAUUGAACAAGACGAGCGUUAUGGAACUAAUGACAGGAUGCGUGUCCCUCGCGUUCGUUACGCGCGCACAUUCGCGCGUUUUCUCCGCAUGAUCGCGUCUUCUUCUUCGUUCUACGCUUUGUUCUUCGCGUUUCUUCACGAAUGAACGCGUGUCGUACUCGCGUGUUCUUCAACGAAUGUUAGGAAUAGAUGGAAAGGUGCUCAGAGCAUCUGAGAUUUCAUUGGACAAUUAUUUGUUCCAAUAGAGAAACUUUGAAUAUUUUGGUUACUUGAAGAUUUUCAGUGAGAAGGCUUCGAAUUAAUUAUUUGAAGAUUUUUAAUAAUAGAAGCUUUGAGUUGAUUAUUCGAAGAUCUUCAAUAUGGGAAUUGACUUCGAGAUGGAUAAAUAGAUAAAUAAUAAUUGAGAAAUUAUUUGUUAAUUGCCGUGAAAUAAAAGGAGAACGAAAGAGAAUGAACGUUGUUGCGUGCAUCGCGAACGGAAAGUGAAACAUGGGUGUAACUUCCGCAAUAGGUGGAAACGGAAGGCGAGAGAGGACAUUGUUUGGUUGGAUGGAAAUCGAGUCGUUGCAACGAUCAAGAUACGCCUCGAAAAAAAGCAGAACAUUGUUCAUCUGUCGUAUCGCGAACCAUGAAAGCACUAAAAGUAUGUAUAUACAUUCCCAACCAUAAGUUCUAACUAUUUUGUUAUAAAUCUGUUAUUUAUAGACUGUAUCUGUAUGUACACGUUGUUAUUAUACGAGCUUAUGACCAGUAGUAUGCCUAUAUAAACCUACAUGCGUAUAAUCGAACUCGCUUAAGUCUAAUUAUAAAACGUCGACCACUAUCAGGAAGCUCAUCGUCGUGUAAAUCGAUUCCGCUGCGCACAUCGGUAUCGUAUGGUCGUUACGAAGCCUUUGACGAGCAUCGAGGUACAUAAGUAGAUACGGCAGAGUGGGCAGACACGAAACCAGAGACUAUCGUCGCGGUGUCGCGUGGACACGAUUUGCUUCGCGAGUGCAGUUUGCGAUCAAGCGAAACGCAAAACGCUGACGAAACUAAACGCAAAACGCUAAGGAAAUUAAACGCGCGCAUAUACAAGCGUUAAACUGGUCCGCGAGCUAUGUAACGGAAUAAAAAAGAAAAAAAAAAAGAAGGAAAAAUCAAGCACGAUGGCAUUCUUUCGAUUCCACACCAGUGUAGAGCGACCUUCCGUUCAGGAGGCUCGAGCUUGCGUCCAAUCAAGCGGGUAAUUUAUACAGAGAGGAAGCUGUUCCCGUUGCAUGUACAGCCAGAAAUGCUCGAGCGCGAACGUUCCAUCGUAAAAAUCGAAACUGCUGCAACAAUGGCAGCGAACAAGUCCGAGGGAACGGUUCUAUGUCCAUAUUUGUAAAACGACGAUGCUCGAGGAUCGCUUUUAAGAAGAGACGAGAAACUGUUCGUUCACGAAGAGAAAAAGCGGUUGCCGCGUUAUCUGAAACACAGACACGCCUUCUGGAGAACGCAACCAACGUGGAAUGCGCGCUGAGAAGGUGAACGCAAAAGUCAGAGAGGGAAAACGGGAGGAUAAAGGGGGAAAAACUGGGCGACAGCCGCGACCUGGGCGAGGAAAGAGGCGGCUGAACGGUCCAGUUUUUACGAUACUAGCGCGCCACUUCGCUCUUGGCGUUCGCCAAUUGGUCAACACGCAGGAGGUGAACCGUUCCGUUCUGUUAUUACGCUCGUGCUCAACUUUAAUUUUGAAUUUUCGUCGUACGAUUCAAUUUGAAAAAUCGUUCUUAUACACACAUGUAGGUUUCAUAGAGCGAACAAAGAUGGAGUAUUCUCCAUGUAGGAAAGAGGUGAACGUUCAGAGGCGGCUCGUUGAAGACGAGAAGCGAAAUUAAGGGGCAAGUAUACAUUAGCAAGUCGCAUAAUCGACAUUAAUAACAAUCGUCCAGGCCUGAUCAUGUUGCAAGCGGACGUAAUGGGCCGCAAUAAAGUUAAUUGCAAAUUACUUUGCGAGUCACGGACGUGGAGGUAACGUUUGCACGCAUAUAUAGGUGUAUACAUAUACAUAUAUAUAUAUAUGUAUAUAUAUUUUGAACGUACGCGCUCGGCAUUUCGGCUAAUUGCAAUUCGGUCAGAUUGUCAUUUGAUAGGGUAGUACAGGAGAGAGGAAGAUGAAAAAGAAGUGGAAGAUAGGAAGGGGAGGAUCUGAAGUGCCGCAAGAAAAUUAAAGUCACGAUCUCGCGAGGGAUGCAAACACGACGGAGGGAUAGGUCGACGGAGAGGAAAUGCCUGUGAAAGAUGAUGGACACCCAUUACCUUAUCAAGAUCAUCAGAGAUGUAAUAAUGGUACGACGCUUACAAAGAAGACGGGGUCCAUUGAAGUGGUUCACCGCUUCAAUGCUUUCUGCUCCUUCUCUCUCUUUCUCUGAGCUCGACUCUAUUCUGCGCAACACGGCAUUUAUUAUAUCGGCUCUAUCCUUUUCGCGAUUGUCGAUCUAAUCUGCGCACAUUGAAUCUCAACUGGACGGAGAAUGCGUCGCAGUACUCGCAGUUAACGCGAUCGCGCAGGAAUGCCGGUUGUUGCCUCUAAUCGGCUCUGAAAGAGGGGUUCCGCUGCCAUUUCUCGACGUUGUUUCAAUUACCAUUUUAAACACUCUUUCGUUCUAAUUUUAUUCGUAUGAGAAUCACGGUAGGGAAAUUAUGCUGUUUCGAAGGAGAAUACCGGAGACUUUUUUUUAAAGUACCGGAUACUAAGAAAAUGUUUAAAUUGAACGCUGUUUCGAGGAAGAAUACUGUUUAAUUUGUUUGAAAGUAGCCAAAAAACCGAGUAUGGAUGUUUAUAGUAUUUUAAAUCUUCUAGAUUUAAAGUAUGGAAUGCUAUUUCUACGUUUCGUGAAUUUAAGUGAUAUAAUAAUUCUUCCAAUUGAUAGCAUCGGAAAUAUUCACAAUUUUGAAGAGUGUCAACGAUAUCAGAGUUUCUCUGAAUUUCUAGCAGCACAAGAUGGAGAACUGUUUUCAACUUCUAGAUUUUUCAAAUAAAGAGCACGAAACUAUGAUUCUCUAAGUAAAAACACGAAACUACGAUUUUUUGAAUAAAAAUCACGAAACUACGAGCGUCCACGGGAUAAAAUAGUAAUUUUUGUAUAACCCGUUUAAAAGAAAACCGUCAAAUAAAUUACAUAAACGUUACCACGAUACCAGAAACUCGACACUUUCUACCUUUUAACGUUUGUGAAAACAAAAUCUACUAUAUAUACGUAUAAUUUUCGAACAUUUCCAUACAUUUAAUCGUCGAAUUUAUGCGUACAUAAAUUCGUUCUAUUACGAACGAGAGUUAAAAGUGGAAAUACAGGGAAUAGAUCGUAAAAAAUACGAGCGAUAGACGGUUCUGAGAGAAGAUUCCUGGCAAAUUAGAGGAUCCUCGGUUGGCUUGUUCGCGCCUUGUGUGUCACAGCCUUGCUGACGUGCAGAUUAAGUAGAUUAGCGACGGGUUAAUUAGCCGCGGGGAAAUCUUCGCGGGUCUAUGGAGCAGAGAGGACGGAAAAAGGGUACGGUUGCGAGAGGAGGACAAAAAUUACGCAAACGCGCGGUCAUACGUUGCGAAAUAUACGCAAAUUGUAUGUUCCGACGAUUAUUCCAUUUAGCGUUUCCCUCGCUUUAAUCAUUGGGUUCGAAGACAGCCAUUUCGCGAGACGCGAUGGAGCUCUACCUGCGUACCGUGGUCGCUGAUAUUCUGAUCCUUCUAGACACGUUUAAAUACCAUGAAAAAUCUUACAAUUCUUCGUUUCUCGUCGCAACGAAAUUUCUAUCGAGAGUUUAAAAUUUUUGUUUAUUCGUAGAUGAAAAAAAAAGAAGAAUACACGCGCGAUGACAUCUGGCUAACCCCGAAAAUUUUGUAAUUCUAUAAAAUUCGAAGAAAGGAGCGGAG